GAUGAAGAACGUAGCGAAACGCGAUAAGUAAUGUGAAUUGCAGAAUUUAGUGAAUCAUCGAACUUUUGAACGCACAUUGCGCCCGGCGGCACUCCGCCGGGCAUGCCUGUCCGAGCGUCAUUUAUCGGCCCUCGACUUUCUUGAGAGAGAGAGUCGGUGUUGGGAGUCUUCUGCGCCUCUAAGCAGCUCCCCAAGUCUACUGGCGUCGCACGCCAGGGUUACCCCCGCGUAGUAAUUUACCACCUCGCCCGGGACCCUGCGAGCGCCGGCCGUAAAAGACAGCGCCUGGCUCUCGAGCCGGCUCGAAUAGUUGACCUCGGAUCAGGUAGGGUUACCCGCUGAACUUAAGCAUAUCAAUAAGCGGAGGA
rnacentral:misc_RNA from 1 species